UCACCGGGCCUUUUUUUUUUUUUUUAAUGGAGAUGGGGUUUCACCGUAUUAGCCAGGAUGGUCUUGAUCUCCUGACCUCGUGAUCUGCCCACCUCGGCCUCCCAAAGUUUUGGAAUUACAGGCGUGAGCCACUGCGCCCAGCCUCCAGCAUGAUUUUUUUAGGGCGUUCUUUUGUGUGAAAUAAUUCAAGUAAGGAUCCACUCUAACUGCCUGCCUGACCGGUUUUUUCCUUUCUCCUCUCUCAUCAGGUCCCUGGUUCCCAUGACUGCAGCUUCCAGAAGAGCAGAGAUUUGGUAUCCUGCUCACAGCGCCAAAACUGCAGGGGCCAAGCAAUACACGUAUCUUCAGAGAAUCCCAGUCUCCCUGCAGCAUCCUCCUGGUGCACAGACAAAAACUGCUGAAUUCUGGCAAGAUACUCAAAGGAUUCUGACAGGUGACCAUCUCAGGCCAGAGAUAUGCCCAACGAACUGGAGAAGCAGAGACAGCCAUGGACAGAUCCGCUGAUGCUGGAGUAUAUAGACAGCUGAGGUACAACCCGUAUAAUCACCCAGAUGUUAUUAGGCCAUGAUCAUUCUGUAGUUAGCUACCUCCCUUCUGUGUUUCCUCUCACCUGAGAACCUAUUGUGGCCACUUCCAAGGCCCCACUGUGUCCAAAUCACACCACCACCAAAGCUCACAGAAACACGCUGGUAGAUUUCUCCUCUUUGGUGGUUUCCCAUGACCAGCCAAGCGAAAUACCCAACAGUCAUUCUCAGUGUGCACAGAUUUACCUUCAGUUUUUUUGGUUAUAUUGUCAUUAUUAUGUUCUUUGCCAAGUGGGAGAGUUAAGGGGCCUGCUAUGGACUGAACUCUGUCCCCCUCAAAUUCAUAUGUUGAAGCCCCAACCUUCAAUGUUACUAUAUUUGAAAACGGUCCCUUUAUGGAGGUAAAGUUAAAUGAGAUCACAAGAGUGGGGCCCUUGUUCGACAGAAUUGGUGUCCUUACAAGAAAAGGAAGAGGCUGAGUGCAGUGGCUCACACCUAUAGUCCCAGCACUUUGGGAAGCCGAGGCGGGAGGUACGCUUGGGCCCAGGAGUUCAAGACCAGCUUGAGCAAUGUAACAAGACUCUAUCUCUACAGAAAAGAAUUAGAAAUUAACCAGGUGUGAUGGCAUGUGCUUGUGGUACCAGCUACUCAGGAGGCUGAGGAAAAAAAAAAAAAGCCAUCUGCAAGGCAGGAAGACAGCCUUCAACAACAACGAAAUCAGUCAGCAACUUGGUUUGGACUACUCGGUCUCCAGAACUGAGAGAAAAUAAAUUAAAAUAAAUUUCUGUAGAAUUAAGCCACCCAGUCUAUGAUGUUUCAUUACAGCAGCCAAAGCAGAUGAAUACAGGGCCAUUCAUUCAUUCCCCACUUAUUGAACAUCUUCAUUUUUUUUUUCUUUUUGAGACGGAGUCUCGCUCUGUCGCCCAGGCUGGAGUGCAGUGGCUGGAUCUCAGCUCACUGCAAGCUCCGCCUCCCGGGUUCACGUCAUUCUCCUGCCUCAGCCUCCCGAGUAGCUGGGACUACAGGGGCCCACCACCUCGCCCGGCUAGUUUUUUGUAUUUUUUUUUUUUUUUUUGAGACGGAGUUUUUGCUCUGUAGCCCAGGCUGGAGUGCAGUGGCCGGAUCUCAGCUCACUGCAAGCUCCGCCUCCCGGGUUCCCGCCAUUCUCCUGCCUCAGCCUCCGGAGUAGCUGGGACUACAGGCGCCCGCCACCUCGCCCGGCUAGUUUUUUUUUUUUUUGUAUUUUUAGUAGAGACGGGGUUUCACCGUGUUAGCCAGGAUGGUCUCGAUCUCCUGACCUCGUGAUCCACCCGUCUCGGCCUCCCAAAGUGCUGGGAUUACAGGCUUGAGCCAUCGUGCCCGGCCGUUUUUUGUAUUUUUUUAGUAGAGAUGGGGUUUCACUGUAUUAGCCAGGAUGGUCUCGAUCUCCUGACCUCGUGAUCCGCCUGUCUUGGCCUCCCAAAGUGCUAGGAUUACAGGCGUGAGCCACUGCACCCGGCCUUACUGAGCAUCUUCUAUGAGGCAUUCUGAUGGUUAAUUUGAGGUGUCAACUUCACUGGGCUGAGGGAUGCUCGGAUGACUGGUAAAACAUUAUUUCUGGGUGUGUCUGCAGGUAUUUCUGGGAGAGAUGAGCAUUUAAUCAGUAGACUGAAUAAAGAUCUGUCCUCACUAAUGAGGUUAGGCAUCAUCCAAUUCAUAGGGAGCCUAAAUAAAACAAAAAGUUGGUGAAAAAGUGAAUUUGCUCUCUUGUCUGGAGCUCAGACAUUCAUCUUCUCCUGCCCUUGGACAAUGGAGCUCCUGGUUCUUGGGACUUAUACCAGGCCCAAGAGAUGAGAAGCCCUAUCCUCCCCCACCGUCUUUAUAUCCCCAAACUCCUGGCCAGUGUGCAGCAGUGUGGCAUGGAUGACUCUAUUCCCUGCUUUAACAAUCGAGUUUACUGCAGAGGUGUAAAAUAUUCAUGCUGAGAAAGGCCUGGGAAGCUUCAGCGAAUGCUUCCCAGGGGUCUAGCUGUGCCAGAGGCUUGAAGUCAGGGAGAAAAUGAAUUGCCUCCUCCUCCUUCUGUGAAGCGAUGCUGGGAGAAGGACAUAGUUCUCAAGAGAACAUGCUCUGAGCAGUGGUUCCCAAAGGAGGGUUUAGGAAAAAGCCAAGUUGGGACCCUGGGGAGGGACUGUGUGGCCCCUACUAGAGGGGUCUUCCAAGGCCACAUUUCUGUGAUGACCUGGAGAAUCCAGGAGAUCAGUGGGAAGGGAGCUGCCUCCAGAGGGAUUCACCUGCCACCUGAACCAGAGGGAGGCAAAGAUGAAGCAGUGGGGAGGCCCUUCCUGGCUGGUAAAUCCUCCUGGGUCAGGCACUUGUAGGAGCAGCCCUGUGGCAUGGAAUUGAGCUCAUUACUUUUACAACAUGCCAAGGACAGGGCCGGGUGUUGGAGAUACAACCAAGAAUAAAAUGCAGCACCUGUUCUCCACAGUUAAGUUAAAAGCACAGACCCGAACAGACAAAAUACAACUUGACUUAGUAGUGGAAGAGCACGCUGCACCAAACUGGUUGUCCAGCAAGAGAGGACUGAAUUAAUAACCUGUGAUCUAUCUAUACAGAGGAAUACCAGAAACUGUUGAAAAAAAUAAGGCAUUGCUUAUUUUAUGAUUUGAAAUGAUGCACAAGAAAUACAAAGUAGAAAAGCAAUGGAAGCUUCCAGAUAGCUGAAUUCCUAGAGGGUGGCAAGCCAGAGAGGGUGAAGAAAGAAGCUCUGUGCUUCUUCCCUCAUACACACCCUAUGCAUUUCUUCAUCUAAAACUUUAAGGACAAAGCAAAAAAACUGCCUGACUUCUUGGUUGACAAUUUGGGCUGGAUACUGGUUUCUUCUUAUAAUAAUUAUUGCUUUAUAAAUUCAGGCAUAUAAGGCCGGGCGCAGUGGUUCACACCCAUAAUCCCAGCACUUUGGGAGGCUGAGGCAGGUGGAUCACUUGAGCUCAAGAGUUCAAGACCAGCCUGGUCAACAUGGCAAAACCCUGUCUCUACAAGAAACACAAAAAUUCGCUGGGCAUGGUGACACCCGCCUGUAGUCCCAGCCACUUGGGAGGCUGAGGUGGGAGAGUUGUUUGAGCCCAGGAGGUUGAGGUUGCAGUAAGUUGAGAUUGUGCCACAGCAUUCCAGCCUGGCCAACAGAGCAAAACCCUGUCUCAAAAAAAAAAAAAAAUCAGGUAUAUUAAAAAAAACCGAGGCCUGAUGUGGUGGCUCAUGCACGUAAUCCCAGCACUUUGGGAGGCUGAGGUGGGAGAAUAGGUUGAGCCUAGGAGUUCAAGACCAGCCUGGGCAACAUAGUGAGACCCUUCCUUUACAAAAGAAAAAAAAUUUUUAAUUAGCUGGGCAUGGUGGUAAGCAUAUGUGGUCCCAGUUACCCAGGAAGCUGAGGUGAGAGGAUGGUUUGAGCCCAGGAGGUCAAGGAUGUAGUGAGACAUGAUUGUGUCACUGCACUGCAGCCUAGGUAACAGAGCAAGACCCUAUCUUAAAUAUAUAUAUAUAUAAAAAAUAAAAAUGUAAAAAUAGGAAAAUCUAAAAAGCAAAACAUAACAAUCUACACAACAGUUUCUAGGAUGGUAGGAUGGAAAAGUUCACUGGGUUGCCCAGGUCAAAACGAAUCUACAGCAGCCGGGCACGGUGGCUCACACCUGUAAUCCCAGCACUUUGGAAGGCCAAUGCGGGCAGAUCACAAGGUCAGGAGUUCGAGACCAGCCUGGCCAACAUGGUAAAACCCUGUCUAUACUAAAAAUACAAAAAUUAGCUGGGUGUGGUGGUGUGUGCCUGUAAUCCCAGCUACUGGGGAGGCUGAGGCAGAAGAAUGGCUUGAACCCAGGAGGUGGGUGAACCAAGAUCGUGUCACUGCACUCCAGCCUGGGUGACAGAGCAAGACUCCAUCUCAAAAACGAAACAAAACUUAUCUACAAUUGGUGGGCAAGUAGGAAGCACUUGCCUCCAGGGUACAGGUGGGCCAAGGUUAGCGGGUGGGAGUACAGAGGGAAUCAAGGCCUUGGGAACCAACUUAGCAGCAGGACAUGUGAUGCCUAGGUUCCAUGGUAUCCAUGUUAGGAGGGUCAUGGGAAACAACCAUUUCGGGUGCAGGUGGGCCGAGGCUAGUAGAUGGGUACACAGAGGGAGUCAAGACACCAUGAGCCCACUGGCUGGCAGGG
rnacentral:lncRNA from 1 species